UUAAACGGCCGCGUUAGCGUGAGCGUGCUAAGGUAGCGUAAUAAAUAGCCUCUUAAUUGGAGGCCAGUGAAUGGCAAGACUAGGGAAAUCUGUACCCUGUAUAGAAAAAAAAUUUUUCAUCUGGGUGAAAAGACCCUAAUAAUAAAGGAAGACGAAAAGACCCCGCGGAACUUUACCUUUUCUUAGUCUCCACAUGCUCAAUAAACACAAGAACAAAAGGUUUGAUUGGGGCAAUCUCGGAACCACCUAAACUUCCGAUUCGUAACAUAAGAAUCAUAUAAAACUUAAUAAGGACCAAAAAGAAGUUACCCCGGGGAUAACAGCGUAAUCCAACUUGAGAGUACACAUCGAAAGCUGGGUUUGCGACCUCGAUGUUGGCUUAAGGAUAUCCACAUAAGUGCAACC
rnacentral:rRNA from 1 species